rnacentral:rRNA from 1 species
GGCCCGCACAAGCAGCGGAGCAUGUGGUUUAAUUCGAUGCAACGCGAAGAACCUUACCUGGGUUUGACAUGUUCGCGACCGGUGUAGAAACACACCUUUCCUUCGGGACGCGAUCACAGGUGGUACA